AAAACCUAUAUUAUAGUAGUAUAUCUUAGUUUUAAAUUUUAAUAAGUGAGUUCUAAGGCAAACAUCAUAUUAUAUUUGUGAAAGUAUUGGGUCAGACCGUCUGACCCAAUAUUCUCGUCAGACGGGCUGAGCCUAGUUCUCUCCUCUUAUCCUGCUACUUACUUUUUUUUUUACGGGCAUCCUGCUACUGCCUUACUCCCACAAUCAAUUCAAUUUCCACUUUCUUUGACGGCCAUGGAAAUAUCCACUUUCUUUGCAAUUCCUGGAUUUAUCCUGCUGAUGUUUAUCAGAAAGAUCGCAUAUUCUUCACCAAUAAGACGUAUCUCCCUCAUCAAACACCUGCACCAUUAAGCAAGUACCGAGAAGAAGAGCUAGAGAUCUUGAGAGGAAAAGGAAAAGAAAAUAAAAUGCUAGAGGAAAAUCAGGGCUUUGAAUUUUUUCAGUUCUAAGAGGAAUGAAGAAGAAGGAGAAAGUGAGAGAAAGCAGAGGUUAGUCUUUUGUUUUCUUUUCAGUUGGUCUUUAUUUUCUUUCAGUUGGACUUUCUUUUCUUUCAGUUAGACCUUCUUUUCUUUCAGUUAGACCUUUCUUUUCUUUCAGUUAGACUUUGUUUUUCUUUCAGUUGGACUUUCUUUUCUUUCAGUUAGACUUUCUUUUCUUUCAGUUGGACUUUCUUUUCUUUCAGUUGGACCAACUGAAAGAAAUAAUGGACUAACUGAAACAAAAUGAAGACUACCUGAAGAAAAAUGUAGACUACCUGAAAAAGAAUAAAGACCAACUGAAACCCAAGUAAGUCUAACUGAAGCACAAAAACCCACUGAAAAACAAAGAAGACUAACUGAAAACAAAAUGAAGACUACCUGAAAAAAAAUUGGAACCACCUGGAAAAAAAAUGAAGACUACCUGAAAAAAAAAUUGGAACCACCUGAAAGUCGUCCGACCAAGAUUAUGGUCGGACGAGUCCGACACAAUACGUUCUCAUUAUAUUUUUACCCUAAUAUUCCACUUUAAUUCAGCAUCAAUGUAUGAUAAUUUAAUGACUAAAUUAUUGAAGUAGAGCAUAUAAUGUUAAUGUCACAUCCUAUCGCCAUCCCAUAACUUUGCUCCCCUCUAAAUUCUAAUUAGUUUUAACCAUUCCAACUAAUAUCGUUAGGAAAGUCAAGUAGCAAUGCCCAAUGAAUAUUGAAUAUGAGUUUAUACUUUCUUCUUUUUUAACGAAUAUGAGUUCAUACUUUAUAGUUAGAAGUAGGUGCAAUAUUGUGGCCUGGAACAUUCUGGAUUAUGUCAUGAGUUAUUAUUAUAAUGUUAAUUAUAUACUAAUACCUUGAGUAAUUUGGCUAUUUGCGCAAAUUUGGGACAAAUCUAACGCGCUUAGCAUAUUAUAUAUAUGCAGCAGAGCACGCCAAGGGGUAAUUUCCCAUAAUCCAUGCUGAUUAAAAUACAAAACAUAUUUUCAGUAACGGGCCUUUAGACUCCAUUUGAUUGUGCGUAAAACAUUUUCAAUGUAAAAUGAUUUUGAUGGAAAACAAUUUACAAUGUAACAUACAAUUCUAAAAUUAAUUUUACGUUGUUUGCUUCCAUGUAAGAAAAAUGAUGACAUGAAAGGAAAAUAAAAAGAAAAGUAAGGAGGUAGUGAGAGGAUCAGAGGAAUGUACAAGAGAGAUAAGGAAAAGAAAGGAAAACAAUUUUCCCUUUAUUUGGAAUGAAAAUGAUAUUUAAUUUCAUCAUUAGGAGAGCAAUUUUACUCAAGGAAAAAUAAUUUUAUACUCCUUUACAAACUAAACAAUGUUAAAAUUGAAGAUAGAGUAAAGAAAAAUGUUUUCCGCUCUAUCAAACGGAUUCUUAAUCCAACUUAUAUUUUUAUAUGGAACACGAUUACUCUUAUAUGUUGGUCUUUUGUUUUAAGUUAAUUAGUAUGAAUGUCUGACAUCUAAAUUGUGUGAGCUGAGGGAAUUCCACUAUAUGAUUAAAGAGUUUUUGACUUUUUGUUGAGGGAUUUUGAAAUAGUAUUACAGGGUGUUGUUCAUUUUACUCGAAUUCUUUUGAAAAAAAAAAAAAAUUAACCCACUUAAAAUUUUAGAUGAAAAUAACUGUUGAACAAAAAAAAUUAUAGUUUAUUAUGAUAUAUCAUAGGA